rnacentral:rRNA from 1 species
UAGGGAAUCUUCCACAAUGGACGAAAGUCUGAUGGAGCAACGCCGCGUGAGUGAAGAAGGGUUUCGGUUCGUAAAACUCUGUUGUUAAAGAAGAACAUAUCUGAGAGUAACUGUUCAGGUAUUGACGGUAUUUAACCAGAAAGCCACGGCUAACUACGUGCCAG